rnacentral:rRNA from 1 species
GGAGUUAGCCGAUGCUUAUUCCUCAGGUACCGUCAUUUUUUCUUCCCUGAGAAAAGAGGUUUACAAUCCAAGAACCUUCCUCCCUCACGCGGUAUUGCUCCGUCAGGCUUUCGCCCAUUGCGGAAAAUUCCCC